rnacentral:rRNA from 2 species
GACUCUCGGCAACGGAUAUCUCGGCUCACGCAUCGAUGAAGAACGUAGCAAAAUGCGAUACUUGGUGUGAAUUGCAGAAUCCCGUGAACCAUCGAGUUUUUGAACGCAAGUUGCGCCCAAAGCCUUUUGGUCGAGGGCACGCCUGCCUGGGCGUCACAU